rnacentral:lncRNA from 1 species
GAAGCUAUGGUCUCUUGCGAUCAUGGGCCUCCAACGCUUGGCCGCCGAGCUCCAGCGCCCUGGGAAUCUGGUAUGGUGCUUGUGUUCUUUGUGAUCUUGCUCUUAUGCUCUGGGGAAUCCUGACUUUGGUACAUUUCCAUUGCCCUCUGUUUCUUUGAUCUGACUCUUGAAAAUUUAUAGGGAGGGGACCUGGUGCCAAAAUUCCAAGUUACUAGCCUUGGCCGAGUAUAAACACAUGGUGAACAUGAAUGAAUAUGAGGGUCCAUUUGUCUGGCUUGAAGAACACAACUAUGCAUACUAGAGAAAAAUUAAAUUUCAUGAUUAAUGAUGAAACAAUUGUGAAUUUUUCACAAUAAAUUCGAUUAUAAUUAAAUAUAGAUUUUUAA